AGUGGUAGCUCAGUGGCUAAAUUAUCAGGCUACUGAUCAGAAAGUCAUGAGUUCAAAUCCCAGCAUCACCA